UACGUAGGGGGGCGAGCGUUGUCCGGAUUUAUUGGGCGUAAAGAGCUCGUAGGCGGCUUGGCAAGUCGGGUGUGAAACCUCCAGGCUCAACCUGGAGACGCCACUCGAUACUGCUAUGGCUAGAGUCCGGUAGGGGACCACGGAAUUCCUGGUGUAGCGGUGAAAUGCGCAGAUAUCAGGAGGAACACCGGUGGCGAAGGCGGUGGUCUGGGCCGGCACUGACGCUGAGGAGCGAAAGCGUGGGGGAGCGAACAGG
rnacentral:rRNA from 1 species